rnacentral:misc_RNA from 1 species
GAACGCACAUUGCGCCCGCCCGCAUUCUGGCGGGCAUGCCUGUCCGAGCGUCAUUUCAACCCUCAGGGUCCCCCCGCCUCGCGCGGUCGGAGCCUGGUGUUGGGGAUCGGCCCGCCCCGCGCGGCGCCGUCCCCCAAAUACAGUGGCGGUCCCGCCGCAGCCUCCCCUGCGCAGUAGUUAUCAACUCGCACUGGAGCGCGGCGCGGCCACGCCGUAAAACCCCCGACUUUCUGAACGUUGACCUCGGAUCAGGUAGGAAUACCCGCUGAACUUAAG